AGGGGAGACAGACAGGACACACAUGAUGAGUUAAAGAGAAGGAACCUGCGUGAUGAACUGGAAGAGCGUGAGUGAAGGCAUUUCUCAUCAAAAAAUAAAUCUUAUAGUGAUGACAGGGAUCAUGGAAAGAGUAACCGUCUGUUUUUGGAAGGAACAAAGAGAGAUGUUGAAGACAAUAUUGUUGCACGAAGUGUUCAUGCAGAUGAUUCUGAUGUUGAAGUCAAAAGUGAUGAAGAGAGGUUGGUAAUUUAGCACAAACUUCAUGUUAUCAGUAAGAAAUGCUUGUUCAAUGUAUUUUUGGUGUCUAUAGACGCAAUUGUAUAAAACUGAACCCAGUUUUUGGGAGCUUAUAUGCACAUGACAAGUGCACAGGCAUGUCUCACACAAUAGAGACUUGUAGUAAUAGUGUAAUACAUCCUUAUAUGUAAUACAAUUGAAGUUAUUGCUUAUACAUAUGGAUCAUUUAAUAUUUGUAAAACAAUCUUGGGUUAUUAUUUUUAAAUCCUCUGGUUAAGCUUCACUGGCAACUCACCGGCCACGCUCUACGCCCCGCGGUGGCCGGAGUACUCGCGUCUCCACAUCUACUCAAGCUAUUUAUGGGUUUCGGAGUGUUCCGAGACGAAGCCCUCUACCAAUCGAGGUUGUUCCUCUUCCGAUUGAGCCACAUCGCCUUCAGCAGCGAGCUUCCGCUUUCCAACGUCGCCAGAAUGGAACGAGCUUUGCGAUUAAUCUUCGGAUCAGUCUCCGCAAUCGCAUCGAUGACACUGGAGGACUCACAGAUGGAACAGGAAACUUUCCAUGCGCUUUCAUUGCUCUCACUUUGAAAUCGAUUAAGAAUUUGUUGUUGUGUAUAUUUGAAUAUCUCAAAUCGAUUAUUGUUUGGAGUUAGAAAAUCUAUGAUUGCAGGGUUAAUUAAUUUUAUUUUUUGUGAGUUUGUAUAGGUUGCGUGUUUAAUUUCGUCUCUGGGGUUAGAAACUUUGUCGUAUAUAUAUGAAGAUUUUGGGGAUGAAA